rnacentral:rRNA from 1 species
GACGAACGCUGGCGGCGUGCUUAACACAUGCAAGUCGAACGGAAAGGCCCUGCUUUUGUGGGGUGCUCGAGUGGCGAACGGGUGAGUAACACGUGAGUAACCUGCCCUUGACUUUGGGAUAACUUCAGGAAACUGGGGCUAAUACCGGAUAGGAGCUCCUGCUGCAUGGUGGGGGUUGGAAAGUUUCGGCGGUUGGGGAUGGACUCGCGGCUUAUCAGCUUGUUGGUGGGGUAGUGGCUUACCAAGGCUUUGACGGGUAGCCGGCCUGAGAGGGUGACCGGACACAUUGGGACUGAGAUACGGCCCAGAAUCCUACGGGAGGCAGCAGUGGGGAAUAUUGCACAAUGGGCGGAAGCCUGAUGCAGCAACGCCGCGUGCGGGAUGACGGCCUUCGGGUUGUAAACCGCUUUCGCCUGUGACGAAGCGUGAGUGACGGUAAUGGGUAAAGAAGCACCGGCUAACUACGUG